rnacentral:rRNA from 1 species
CGGCAGGCCUAACACAUGCAAGUCGAACGGUAACAGGAAGCAGCUUGCUGCUUUGCUGACGAGUGGCGGACGGGUGAGUAAUGUCUGGGAAACUGCCUGAUGGAGGGGGAUAACUACUGGAAACGGUGGCUAAUACCGCAUAACGUCGCAAGACCAAAGAGGGGGACCUUCGGGCCUCUUGCCAUCAGAUGUGCCCAGAUGGGAUUAGCUUGUUGGUGAGGUAACGGCUCACCAAGGCGACGAUCCCUAGCUGGUCUGAGAGGAUGACCAGCCACACUGGAACUGAGACACGGUCCAGACUCCUACGGGAGGCAGCAGUGGGGAAUAUUGCACAAUGGGCGCAAGCCUGAUGCAGCCAUGCCGCGUGUAUGAAGAAGGCCUUCGGGUUGUAAAGUACUUUCAGCGGGGAGGAAGGUGUUGUGGUUAAUAACCGCAGCAAUUGACGUUACCCGCAGAAGAAGCACCGGCUAACUCCGUGCCAGCAGCCGCGGUAAUACGGAGGGUGCAAGCGUUAAUCGGAAUUACUGGGCGUAAAGCGCACGCAGGCGGUCUGUCAAGUCGGAUGUGAAAUCCCCGGGCUCAACCUGGGAACUGCAUUCGAAACUGGCAGGCUUGAGUCUUGUAGAGGGGGGUAGAAUUCCAGGUGUAGCGGUGAAAUGCGUAGAGAUCUGGAGGAAUACCGGUGGCGAAGGCGGCCCCCUGGACAAAGACUGACGCUCAGGUGCGAAAGCGUGGGGAGCAAACAGGAUUAGAUACCCUGGUAGUCCACGCCGUAAACGAUGUCUACUUGGAGGUUGUGCCCUUGAGGCGUGGCUUCCGGAGCUAACGCGUUAAGUAGACCGCCUGGGGAGUACGGCCGCAAGGUUAAAACUCAAAUGAAUUGACGGGGGCCCGCACAAGCGGUGGAGCAUGUGGUUUAAUUCGAUGCAACGCGAAGAACCUUACCUGGUCUUGACAUCCACAGAAGAAUCCAGAGAUGGAUUUGUGCCUUCGGGAACUGUGAGACAGGUGCUGCAUGGCUGUCGUCAGCUCGUGUUGUGAAAUGUUGGGUUAAGUCCCGCAACGAGCGCAACCCUUAUCCUUUGUUGCCAGCGGUUAGGCCGGGAACUCAAAGGAGACUGCCAGUGAUAAACUGGAGGAAGGUGGGGAUGACGUCAAGUCAUCAUGGCCCUUACGACCAGGGCUACACACGUGCUACAAUGGCGCAUACAAAGAGAAGCGACCUCGCGAGAGCAAGCGGACCUCAUAAAGUGCGUCGUAGUCCGGAUUGGAGUCUGCAACUCGACUCCAUGAAGUCGGAAUCGCUAGUAAUCGUGGAUCAGAAUGCCACGGUGAAUACGUUCCCGGGCCUUGUACACACCGCCCGUCACACCAUGGGAGUGGGUUGCAAAAGAAGUAGGUAGCUUAACCUUCGGGAGGGCGCUUACCACUUUGUGAUUCAUGACUGGGGUGAAGUCGUAACAAGGUAACCGUAGGGGAACCUGC